rnacentral:snRNA from 2 species
AGCUUUGCGCAGUGGCGAUAUCGUAACCAAUGAGGUACAACCGAGGAGCGAUUAUUGCUAGUUGAAAAACAAAUUAUUCACUGCAGAAUCCUUCUAGGACUCUUUUUCAAAUCUUUCGAGUGUUCUAAUAAAA